rnacentral:rRNA from 1 species
AUACGUAGGGAGCAAGCGUUAUCCGGAAUUAUUGGGUGUAAAGGGUGCGUAGACGGGAAUUUAAGUUGGUUGUGAAAUCCCUUGGCUUAACUGAGGAACUGCAACCAAAACUGGAUUUCUUGAGUGCAGGAGAGGAAAGCGGAAUUCCUAGUGUAGCGGUGAAAUGCGUAGAUAUUAGGAGGAACACCAGUGGCGAAGGCGGCUUACUGGACUGUAACUGACGUUGAGGCUCGAAAGCGUGGGGAGC